rnacentral:rRNA from 1 species
AUGGCCACGGCCACCAGCUCCCGCCACCUCCUCCUCCUGUUCCUCUGGCUCUGCGCGGCCGCGAGCACGGCCUGGGCCCAUGGAGGCGGCGGAGACGACGACGGGGACUCUGGAGACGCGGACGGCGGCGGCGAGGCGAAGCCGGACCUGCGGGCGCCGGGGCUGGUGGCGACGAAGCUGUGGUGCCUGGCGCUGGUGUUCGCGGGCACGCUGGCGGGGGGCGUGUCGCCCUACUUCAUGCGGUGGAACGAGGCGUUCCUGGCGCUGGGCACGCAGUUCGCCGGCGGGGUCUUCCUCGGCACCGCCAUGAUGCACUUCCUCAGCGACGCCAACGAGACCUUCGGCGACCUCGUCCCCUCCAGCGAGUACCCGUUCGCCUUCAUGCUCGCCUGCGCCGGCUACGUGCUCACCAUGCUCGCCGAGUGCGCCAUCUCCUCCGUCGUCGCGCGCGGCCGCACCGCGCCCGCCGCCGCCGCCGCCGCCCCGGCAACAAGCGCAGGAGCGUUGGAGGAGGGCAAGCUGAGCAGCACGAAUGGCAACGGCUCCGAGCAACAAGCAGCUGACGCGCACGGGCCGCCGGCGACGGGCCACUCGACGGCGUCGAUGCUGCGCAACGCCAGCACCCUCGGCGACAGCAUACUGCUCAUCGCCGCGCUCUGCUUCCACUCCGUCUUCGAGGGCAUCGCCAUCGGAGUCGCCGAGACCAAGGCGGACGCGUGGAAGGCGCUGUGGACGAUCAGCCUGCACAAGGUGUUCGCGGCGGUGGCCAUGGGCAUCGCGCUGCUCCGGAUGCUGCCCAACCGGCCGCUGCUCUCCUGCUUCGCCUACGCCUUCGCGUUCGCCGUCUCCAGCCCCAUCGGCGUCGGCGCCGGCAUCGCCAUCGACGCCACCACGCAGGGCGCCGUGGCCGACUGGAUCUUCGCCGUCUCCAUGGGCCUCGCCACCGGCAUCUUCAUCUACGUCUCCGUCAACCACCUCCUCUCCAAGGGGUACACGCCCCAGAGGCCCGUCAAAGCCGACACGCCCCUCGGCCGCUGGCUCGCCGUCGUGCUCGGCGUCGGGGUCAUCGCCGUCGUCAUGAUAUGGGACACCUGA